rnacentral:rRNA from 1 species
AGAGUUUGAUCCUGGCUCAGGACGAACGCUGGCGGCGUGCCUAACACAUGCAAGUCGAGCGGGAACCUCAGGAGGGGUAACCCUUCUGAGGGGAGAGCGGCGAACGGGUGAGUAACACGUGGGCAACCUGCCCCGGACACCGGGAUAACCCAGGGAAACCUGAGCUAAUACCGGAUACUCCGGCGUGAUCGCAUGGUCGCGCCGGGAAAGCUCCGACGGUCCGGGAUGGGCCCGCGGCCUAUCAGCUUGUUGGUGGGGUAACGGCCCACCAAGGCGACGACGGGUAGCUGGUCUGAGAGGACGGCCAGCCACACUGGGACUGAGACACGGCCCAGACUCCUACGGGAGGCAGCAGUGGGGGAUCUUGCGCUAAUGCGCGAAAGCGUGACGCAGCGACGCCGCGUGGGGGAUGAAGGCCUUCGGGUUGUAAACCCCUUUCGGCAGGGACGGAGGGAAACUGACGGUACCUGCAGAAGAAGUCCCGGCUAACUACGUGCCAGCAGCCGCGGUAAUAC